AAGUAAAAGCACACCUCUCCUCAUUAGGUUACAUAAUUUGAUGAAUGACCAUAUCAAAAUUGGGCAAAAUAAGUUAAAUAUUAUGAGUAUAUAGUCUUGGAAGAAUAAAUAUUUGUUAUUUAAUUUCCUGGCUUUUCUAGCAAAAUGCAUGAUAAAGGAAAGAUGGGACUUGCUGAGUCAUGAAACCACAGUAAGAUAAUAUCUGAUUGAUAUUUGCACAUCUCUUUACCCAUCAUGCUUUCAGCAGAGGGAAUACAGCAAGACAGAAAAUGAUUAAAUAAUUUACAUUUUGUGACAUUAAAGACACUGCUCACAAUAAAAUUGAAAUUCUCCUAUGAUUCAUCUGUCAGAUAUGCUGCUAUGUUUUCCCCAUCAAAUGCAAAAAGCACAUCUUAUCACGUUUAUUUCAGAAGGAGAGUUGAUUUUCAGUGAUCUUUCCAUCAAAGUUUUGAGAAAUGCAUUGCUGAAAAUAAUGAGGGACUUUUCAUUUGUUGGUGACUGUUUCUUUAAGAGCCACUUGUUUAGUGCCAUUAUAUUUGCAUACAUAUCAAAUUAUACAUCUUUUCCUUUUAGAUGGCAAAGGGUGGAGAAGUCUGGAGACCUGCAUGGCUGCACCUGCCCGAUGUCACCUGAGGAACUGGAAGGUGAUGCUGCUUGUGUUUGUAUGUCUUCUGGGUCUCGUUGAUGGACAUUUCCUCCAGGAGGAGAAAGAAGAACCCCGUCCUAGCAAGCUGAGAGCCUUUUCAACUUCUGCAGAACAUCCAGGACCACAGAAAGAUCUAGAUUUGACAAGUAGAUUAGGAAGCUACUGUAGUUUAAGAAGAGGAGAAAUGAAGAGAAGAAAAAUUGUUUUCAUAUAUAUAUAUAUAUACAAUACAGAUGGUUAAACAGGAAAAUAAGUGUUGAUGCUAUAAAAUUAAUCAGUUACGAAACAUAUUUAAUAUCAGCUGUAAUGCAGCUUUACAGAAGAUAAUAGUUUCAUUAUCCAGCUCAAGACAGUUCAAUGUUUUGUACUCAUCUG
ensembl:lncRNA